AAGGAGCUUGAUCUAAAGGUUAUCACCUGUGAAGAACUUGUUUCUGAGGCAUUAAAACUCCCUCUAUUAUCUAAUCCAAAUCAUAAUGUUGCUGAUCCUCUAAAAGAUGCUGGCAGAGUAAGUGACAGUCCAAGAGCAGCCGUUAGGGAUAAGACAGCAGAAUGCUCAUCCUAUAAAGCUGGUUCACAGGAAAGUCGUUCACCAGAAAUGUUGAAGGUUUCUGAUGCUGUCGGUAAUAAAAGUUUGGUUGAACAUAACUGCUUGACAAAGGAAAGAGUUAAUGUUGGAAAAACUGAGAAGCCAUGUUCAUCCGGGGAGUAUCCGAUA
rnacentral:misc_RNA from 1 species